rnacentral:rRNA from 1 species
UAGGGAAUCUUCCGCAAUGGGCGCAAGCCUGAUGGAGCAACACCGCGUGAGUGAAGAAGGGUUUCGGCUCGUAAAGCUCUGUUGUUAAAGAAGAACACGUAUGAGAGUAACUGUUCAUACGUUGACGGUAUUUAACCAGAAAGUCACGGCUAACUACGUGCCAG